rnacentral:rRNA from 1 species
UGGGGAAUAUUGCGCAAUGGGGGAAACCCUGACGCAGCAACGCCGCGUGAAGGAUGAAGGUUUUCGGAUCGUAAACUUCUUUGAUGAGGGACGAACAAAAUGACGGUACCUCAAAAACAAGCCACGGCUAACUACGUGCCAGCAGCCGCGGUAAUACGUAGGUGGCGAGCGUUGUCCGGAAUUACUGGGUGUAAAGGGCGUGUAGGCGGGGAUGUAAGUCAGAUGUGAAAUUCCAUGGCUCAACUGUGGGGCUGCAUCUGAAACUAUGUCUCUUGAGUGCCGGAGAGGGAAGCUGAAUUCCUAGUGUAGCGGUGAAAUGCGUAGAUAGUAGGAGGAACACCAGUGGCGAAGGCGGCUUUCUGGACGGUAACUGACGCUGAGGCGCGAAAGCGUGGGGAGCAAACA